GGGCGGCGGGACCGCCGGCUGCCGCCCGUGGGACCGGCGAUCCCGGCGGGCCUGGGGAGCACGCCUCGCCAAACUGCAAAUGAGGGGCAGGGUGUGCUGUCACCGACCCCCCUGAGCGCGCCUCUCUCCAGGGAAAGGAUGGCUUCUCUUCCUUUUCCCACGUAAGGAGGGAGACACGUUUUCCAGGCGCUGUGUGAGUUUUGCCUGGUCUUUCAGAGGAGGGACGGAAAGCUGGUGGUCUCCCGUCUGGAGCACCCCAGGCUCAGCACCCUAGCUGGACCACUGAUCCCACUGUGGGCCACAAUGCCCUGCUAACAAAAUGUGGUGGCAUGGCCAUGGUGCUGAAUGGGAGUCUCCAUGGCAGGGGAUUGUCUGGCAGGGCAGGACCUGGGGACCAGGAGGCAGCCCUUGUUCUUCACAGUGAAGGCCUGGAAGAGGGAGGGCAUUUUGGCAGACUGCCCAGCUUUCAGGAGUUCAGCUUGAGGUCCAGCUCUGCCCAUCAGGCCUGCCAGAACCUGUGACCCCAUCUCCUGGCAAAGUGACGCACUUGGAAUGACAUGGACCACUGCUUUCUCCAUUCUUCUGCUUCAUGUGCCCUGAUUUCCGUGGUGGAUGAGUCACUGGCUGGCACCUUGGCUGGAAGAUGGACGAGCCACCCCCAUGCUGCUGACACAGCCUGAAUACAGACUUUCUGCUCUUACCUAGGUAUGAAAUCAGGAAGAGGAGAUGUGCUUCCUAAGAAAAAGGGACUGGAUUUGUUCUGGGCUUCCUGGGGGAUUCUGGGAGAAAAAUGAAAAGGUUUUGCUGCUUUAUGAGGGUAAGCACUGACUUUUUUUUUUUUUUUUUUAAAUGUGUGUUGCUUUUGCAUUUCUUUAUUUUUAAGAAAGUGGUAGGGAAAUUUUCCUCCUUGAGGGAAAAAACAAAGCAAAAGCAGAGACUGGUAGUGUUGACUGCUCAUUCAUGGAGAACAGUGGUUCCAGGAAAGGCUAAAGUCUGUUUGCACUAGUUCCUACAGCUAAUGAAGUAUGACUGUGAAGGGGGCUCCUAAUGCUAGUGCGAAGCAAGGCUCACAAGCUUCAAAUGUUUUCUUGGAUGAUCUCCAAACCUUCUGCCCUCCUUUGGGCUACAGCUGAGGUUGGAGACCUCAGAGCUGCGAAGACUUCAGUGCAGCUGCUUCCAAGCAAAACCAGAGCCAUCACAAUGAAAAUAAAUAAAUAAACAAAUAGUGCUAUUCUGA